GCAUAUCAAUAAGCGGAGGAAAAGAAACCAACAGGGAUUGCCUCAGUAACUGCGAGUGAAGCGGCAAAAGCUCAAAUUUGAAAUCUGGCCCGCCCAUGGCGGGCGGCCCGAGUUGUAAUUUGGAGGCGCAUUUUCGGAGCGGGCGCCGUCCCAAGUUCCUUGGAACAGGACGUCGCAGAGGGUGAGAAUCCCGUGUCUGGAUGGCCGCGCCGCUCCAUGUGAGGUGUGUCCGACGAGUCGAGUUGUUUGGGAAUGCAGCUCAAAGUGGGUGGUAAAUUUCAUCUAAAGCUAAAUAUUGGCGAGAGACCGAUAGCGCACAAGUAGAGUGAUCGAAAGAUGAAAAGCACUUUGAAAAGAGAGUUAAAAAGUACGUGAAAUUGUUGAAAGGGAAGCGCUUGAGACCAGACUCGGCCGCCGGCGAUCAUCGGUGCUUCUGCGCCGUGCGCUCGUCGGUGGACGGGCCAGCAUCGGUUCUGGCGGCGGGAAAAAGGUCCGGGCAAUGUGGCUCCUCUCGGGGAGUGUUUAUAGGCCCGGGCGUCAUGCCGCCAGCCGGGACCGAGGACCGCGCUUCGGCUAGGAUGCUGGCGUAAUGGUCUUAAGCGACCCGUCUUGAAACACGGACCAAGGAGUCUAACAUCUAUGCGAGUGUUCGGGUGGAAAACCCUUGCGCGUAAUGAAAGUGAGCGGAGGUGGGAACCCCCUCCCAGGGGGGUGCACCAUCGACCGAUCCCGAUGUCUUCGGAGGGAUUUGAGUAGGAGCAUAGCUGUUGGGACCCGAAAGAUGGUGAACUAUGCCUGAAUAGGGUGAAGCCAGAGGAAACUCUGGUGGAGGCUCGCAGCGGUUCUGAC
rnacentral:rRNA from 1 species